AUCCGAGGUAUGCAUAUACGAUGGAUCCAACUCAACAAAUGUUUCGUGGACUUAAGGAUACAUUUCAGCGCAUGACGGAUCUCCAGAGCGCCGUCCAGGCAUUGCAGGAGUUUGACGUGUUUCGGCAGAAAAUUGGCGAGUAUAGCAGUGAUAUGGCAAUGCGGAUGGCGAUGGACACAAAGACAUCCCCAUCGUCCUGGUGGAUGAUGUUCGGAUCAAGUACUCCAAAACUGCAGUACCUUGCCAUGAGGC